rnacentral:rRNA from 1 species
CAGUCGCCACGGUAAUACGAAGGGUGCAAGCGUUAAUCGGAAUUACUGGGUGUAAAGCGUGCGUAGGCGGUUUGUUAAGUCUGUUGUGAAAUCCCCGGGCUCAACCUGGGAAUGGCAAUGGAUACUGGCAAGCUAGAGUGUGUCAGAGGAUGGUGGAAUUCCCGGUGUAGCGGUGAAAUGCGUAGAGAUCGGGAGGAACAUCAGUGGCGAAGGCGGCCAUCUGGGACAACACUGACGCUGAGGCACGAAAGCGUGGGGAGCAAACAGGAUUAGAUACCCCAGUAGUCCCUGUCUCUUAUAC